GGAUAGCUUGGUUUGGAUUGCGACGAAGGACGUGGCAAGCUGCGAUAAGCUCGGGCGAAGUGCAUGCGACUAUUGAACCCGAGAUCUCCUAAUGCGAGAACGUAUUUAUGCCGAGAGGCAGGUAAACGCCGGGAAUUGAAACAUCUUAGUACCGGCAGGAAAAGAAAUCAAUUGAGAUUCCCUGAUUAGCAGCGAGCGAAAAGGGAACAGGGCAAACCGAAUCUGUUUUUGAAAAGAAAUUAGAGAUGUGGUGGAGAUAAAUGGCUAAGUUGUCGAAGAGAAGUUGCCUGGAAAGGCGCACCUUAGAGGGUGAUAGUCCCGUAACUUAAGACAAUAUGUUGUUCUCCGAAAGAGUAGGGCUCCUUAGAUAAGGGGUCUGAAUAUGGUGGGAUUAACCGCCAACCCUAAACAUAAAUCCAAGUCCGAUAGUGAACUUAGUACCGCGAGGGAAAGCUGAAAAGUACUCUUAAUCGAGGGUUAAAAGACUUGAAAUCUAUUAGUUACAUGAUGGUUACGGCCUUUAGGGGUUGUAACGUACGUUUGGAAAAAUGGGCCAAGGAGUUUAUCAAAGUGGCGAGGUUAAAUUGGAACCAUAGCGAAAGCGAGUAUGAAAAUGCGUUAGUCACUUGGAUAAGACCCGAAACCGGAUGAUCUAUUCGUGGGCAAGCUGAAGUUUUCCGAAAGGAGAAUGGAGGGCUGAACCGUUGUUGUGUGCAUGCACUCGAAUGACCUGCGAAUAGGGGUGAAAAGCCUAUCUAAUUCGGCGAUGGCUGGUUCCUGUCGAAAUAUGCCUAAGUAUAGUCUAAUUUAGUUUGCUGGCGAGGUAAAGUACGGAUAGGGUUCGCAGGGCCGAAAGGUUACGGAACCUCUUCCAACUCUGAACUUGUCAACUGCUUAAAAUUGGAAUGGGGGGCGGCGCGUAAGGUGCUGUUCCGAGACCCGAACAAGGGAGACUGAAGUUAAGGUCCCAAAGUGUAUGCUAAGUGUAUCAAAGGGUGUCUUGAACCUAAGACAGUAGGGAUGUAGGCCCAGAAGCAGCCACCAUUUAAAGAAAGCGUAACAGCUCACUGGUCAAG
rnacentral:rRNA from 1 species